rnacentral:rRNA from 1 species
GCAGGGAAUCUUGCGCAAUGGGCGAAAGCCUGACGCAGCGACACCGCGUGGGGGAAGAAGGCCUGCGGGUCGUAAACCCCUUUUCUGGGGGAAGAAACAAGACGGUACCCCAGGAAGAAGCCUCGGCUAACUACGUGCCAGCAGCCGCGGUAAUACGUAGGAGGCGAGCGUUGUCCGGAUUUACUGGGCGUAAAGGGCGCGCAGGCGGCCGGGUCCGUCGGUGGUGAAAGCCCCAGGCUCAACCUGGGGAGGUCCUCCGAUACCACCUGGCUUGAGGGCGGCAGAGGAGCACGGAAUUCCUGGUGUAGUGGUGAAAUGCGUAGAUAUCAGGAGGAACACCCGUGGCGAAAGCGGUGCUCUGGGCCGUGCCUGACGCUGAGGCGCGAAAGCGUGGGGAGCGAACCGG